UUUCUUUUUUAUGUUACACCACCUUCUGUUCUGGUGAACAUGAUGACCACUGCCUCGACCUUUUCAGAUGACUAUGUGAUUGGACUGAGACUUGAAGUUACAAGUGAAGAGAAUCUGUCAGAGUCUCAGAUUGAAGAGCUUGUGCUUAUACAGUUUCAAGAGAAGCUGAUCGAACUAGGAGUUCCCAGGAACAUCACCGUGCAUUUGAGAAACUAUCGUAAAAUCAGUCCCUGAAAAUGAAGGAAAGCAGUUCACAUUGUCACAUACUAAAUACAAAAUACAGUUUACGGGGUCAAUAAUUACUGUAAUCUCUAAACAACUUUAAAAUGAAUUUCAGUUGUAAAUAAUCCAGUUUUGUUUUGGUAUGUUCUGUACAGUAUACUAACAUCUUCUAUGUUGUUUUAUGUAGGCUGUGUAUACAUUUUAACAGAGACAAAGAAUGUUUCGCAAAACAUGUUUACAUGCUGCUUGCUACAAUUGAGUUGACCGAUGAGUUUUUAUUAGUGCAGAACCAUCUCUGUUCUGUGUGUUUUGAGGGAAAUGGAUAUUGUUAAAGACUUUAUUGACUGCAUGACAAAAACAUGUGAAUGUAAAACAUAAAAUGAUCAAUGUUUCAAGCAAAACCAGUUGGAAUGAGCUGGUACAUUUAGGAGAUUUACUUACUAAUUGGCAGGUGAUGACAAAAAUAGCAUAAAUACUGUUUGGCAAUCACAAUUGGAAGGGCAAAAUCAUAGCUUACAGUUUACAGAUACAAACAGGACAGUAUAGACUUCAGAUGUUUAGGAUAUAGGAGUGAAAUAUUGUGUAUGCUUGAGUCUAUGCAAAAUCAGUGAAUGUACAACAGGUUUAACACAACAGGUUUGUAGAUGUAGAGAUAUUUUCCAAAAAUAAUAAGAUAAUGAGAUUCAGUUUUCUGAUAUGUUUUUUUGGAAUUGUGUUGAUUUAUACUUAUAGGUAUUCAAUGUUUUCAAAUCCAAACAGGAAUUGUCUUUGCCAAGAUAAAUCUUACGGGGGUCUUAAAACUUUUUUAACCAUAGUGAAGUAUAUCCAUUUUUGCUUUGGAUUAAAUAAUCAGCCAAAUGCAUAUUAAUGUAAUGUUUCAGUGGUUCAGAAGUGUAUUUUAACCACAUCUAAGGCUUGCUAAUAUACUGUAUUGGCAAUAAAAUGAUCACUAAGACAUAACAGAACAGGCACAACAUUAUAAACAUCUAAACGAGGCUAUAACAACUGAACUGUUUGGGAAAAAACAUUAAAUUGUUGUUGUUGGUCAAAUGUGUUCGCAUGUUAUUGUUUGAAUGAGGCAUUGUUCUGACAUCUGCAUCUGCACUAACCAGACUAGAAUUUGUGUCUAUUAAAACAACAUGUCUAUUCAGAUGGAGACAUGACA